ACGUAGGCAGCGAGCGUUGUUCGGAAUUACUGGGCGUAAAGAGUGUGUAGGCGGUGAUGUAAGACAGGUGUGAAAUCCCCGGGCUUAACCUGGGAACUGCAUUUGUGACUGCAUCGCUGGAGUGCGGCAGAGGGGGAUGGAAUUCCGCGUGUAGCAGUGAAAUGCGUAGAUAUCGGAAGGAACACCAGUGGCGAAGGCGGCUACCUGGACAGACACUGACGCUGAGGCGCGAGAGCGUGGGGAGCAAACAGGA
rnacentral:rRNA from 1 species